rnacentral:rRNA from 1 species
AUGUAUCCGCCUCCCGGCUUCUUCUGCAGUACGGGCCCUAACGCCGGCUACACCAUGUCCGACACUGAACGCGAUAUGGCGGCACUUUUUACAAACUACAAUCGUGUUCUCAAGGCGGCUCGGGACGCCCACCCGCACCCUGACGCUCUGGGACGCCUCGAGCGGGUGCUGCUGGGCGCCGUGCUGCGUUGUCUCUCCGAUGACACGGAUUCGUUCAGAAGGAGGAUGGACGACUUCCUUGUCAAAUUCAGCAACUUCAACAGGAAGAUGGACGACAUCAGCGCGCGCCUCCAGGCCACGCGCAGCCCUAAAGGCCGCCGCCGCGGCAUCUCCCCCGCUGCCCAGCUCGCCGGCCUUUAUGGAAAUGAUCUCUUCCGCGCGCUGAUGGGCGUGCAGCUGCCCGUGGCCACACCUGCGGAGGUCUGCCUGGAGGUCGCCCUCGCUGCACAGCGCCUCAUCGUGCAUGACCAGCUCGACUUUUUCAUCAACCUCUGUGAGAAGACAGUCUUCGGGGCCGACAUUACGACGAUCAGGGAGUACAACAUCAUGGCCUUCAAGGACCACAGGAAAACCUUGGAGAAGUUCGUUCAAGAGCACAUUGACCUCGCCGAAGCCGCUGCCACUUCACGUCCACCUACCGGACAAGCAGAGUAA